rnacentral:rRNA from 1 species
CCUACGGGGGGCAGCAGUGAGGAAUAUUGGGCAAUGGACGCAAGUCUGACCCAGCCAUGCCGCGUGCAGGAUGACGGCCCUAUGGGUUGUAAACUGCUUUUCUGCAGGAAGAAAUGUUCCGACGUGUCGGAAUUUGACGGUACUGCAGGAAUAAGCAUCGGCUAACUCCGUGCCAGCAGCCGCGGUAAUACGGAGGAUGCAAGCGUUAUCCGGAUUUAUUGGGUUUAAAGGGUGUGUAGGCGGGAGAUUAAGUCAGUGGUGAAAUCCUACAGCUUAACUGUAGAACUGCCAUUGAUACUGGUUUUCUUGAGUAUAGUUGAAGUGGGCGGAAUGUGUAUUGUAGCGGUGAAAUGCUUAGAUAUUACACAGAACACCUAUUGCGAAGGCAGCUCACUAAACUAAUACUGACGCUGAUGCACGAAAGCGUGGGGAGCAAACAGGAUUAGAUACCCCAGUAGUCC